rnacentral:lncRNA from 1 species
GUUGUUACAUAAAUGAACAGCUAAGAUGAACUUCAUGAGAUGUUAUGGUAUGGUGGUUGCAGAUGAUCUCUCACUUCAUUAACCGUCAGCAUGUCAUGUCCAUGGAGUUGUCUUGUGUUUUAGACCAUUAAAAAACAAGGAGACUUGUAGCUAUCACACAACAGCUUCCUAGACCAGACAUGACUCUUCAUCUUUAUGAAUCAAAACUUAAAGCAUAAUUAAUCAAAUCAAAACUUAGAGCACAAUAAAUCAGCCUUAGUCCAAUGUAAUUAUUAUAAGUCAUGUCUAUUUCAAUAUAAAGUCAUUCCUCUCCUCCCAAUCACACUCUUUGG